GCUCGCGCGGCAGUCUCGCGGUAUUUCCUCCCCUCGCUGGGGUUAUUUGAACGCUCUGGCGGUAAUUCGAGCUUGGGUGCUCGGCUACGGGCUGACCGGUUUCUGAGGUGAAUUUGUAGACUUCACCUGGGGUCCGUGGGGCCCCUGCAGCCCGGAGCAGACGAGGCUCGUCCCGGCCGGGUGCCGGCGCCAUGGGGGCGGAGAAGAAGGUGCUGCCGGUUAAGGAGGCCUUUCAGCUGGCGCAGCAGCCGCACCAGAACCAGGCGAAGCUGGUGGUGGCGCUGAGCCGCACCUACCGCACGGACUGAAGCAAAUAGCAAUGAAGUUCAGUGUUUGUUGUGCCAGAUUCUAAAUAAGUUCUUGGGAAAUAUGCUGGAAAAAGGCCAGAUUGAUAAUGUUUUGUGCAUAAAAUGGAUGAAGCUCUUCUUACUAGACUAAAAGAUAAAAUCCAAAUGUGAGAUACAGGCAGUCCUGGCUCUUUCCAGACUUAAGACCUAUGGGUAAUGAUUGCCCCAUAAAGAUUUUAUUUAUUUGACAGAGAGAGCACAAGCAGAGGGAGAGAGAGGGAGAAGCAGGCUCCCUGCUGGCAAGGAGCCCGAUGUGGGACUCGAUCCCAGGACCCUGGGAUCAUGAUCUGGGCCGAAGGCAGCCGCUUAACCAACUGAGCCACCCAGGCGUCCCGUCAUGAACUAAACUUCUAUCAGCAUUCUUAAACAUGUAUAAGAAUUUCUCUGGCUAAUAAUGCCUAGAGGCAGUGUUAGGGACUGGAUUGUGUGUCCACAAAAUUCAUAUGUUGAAGCCCUAACUCCAAAUACCUCAGAAUGUGACUUUAUGUGAAGAUAGGAUCUUUAAAGAGGUGAUUAAGUUAAAAUAAGGCCUUUGAGAAGGGGCCCUCAUCCAGUCUGACUGGUGUUUUAUAAGAAAAGGAAAUUAGAACAUGUCCAUGUAGAAAGGAAAGGCCAUGUGAGGGCACUGCAAGAGGACAUCUAUGUAUAAACCAAGAAAAGAGGCCUCAAGAACCCAAACCUGUCAACACUUUGAUCUUUGGACUUCUAGCCUCCAGAACCAAGAAAAUAAAUUUCUUUUGUUUAAGCCACCUAGUCUGUAGUAUUUUUGUUAUGGCAACCCUAGUGAACUAAUAAAGUUAGAAUUGUUAGAUGGUAGGAUUAUGUACAUGUUCAGCUUAAGUAAUAAUACUGAUUUUUUUUAAGUAAUUGGACUAAUUUGCAGUCCUAUUAGCAGUGUAUGAGAAUUCUUGUUUUGCAUUCUUGCCCAAAAGUGAUAUUGUCAGGCUUUACCUUUUCUAGUUUGAUAGGGGAGGAAUGAAAUCUUAACGGUCAUUUUAAUUACAUUUUCCUGACAGCUAAGAGUUGAAUAUCUUCAUAUGUUUCUUGUUUCUAUAUCAAUAAAAUGCUUUUUAUAUC